AUGAGGGUGGUGGUGACGGGCGCGACGGGGUACCUGGGCGGGCGCCUGUGCGCGGCGCUGGCGGGGGCGGGGCACGACGUGCGGGCCUUCGUGCGGCGCACCGGCGACGCGUCCGCCCUGCCGGACGCCGUCGAGCUCGCCUACGGCGACGUCGGCGACGCGGACUCCCUCGCCGCGGCCUUCGACGGGCGGGACGCCGUCUUCCACGCCGCCGCCUCCGUCGAGCCAUGGCUCCCCGACCCCUCCGUCUUCACCGCCGUACGUGCACACUCUAUAGUAGAGUACUUGCUGAAUCAAGCUGUUCUGCUUUCAGUUUUUCCUUCCAUGGGCACAAGUUGCUGUUCAAAAUUGGGUGAUCAGGUCAAUGUGAGAGGGCUUGAGAAUGUGUUAGAGGCGGCCAAGAGAAUGCCGACAGUAAAGAAGAUCAUAUACACGUCCUCGUUCUUCGCACUUGGCCCAACAGAUGGUUAUGUCGCAGAUGAGACACAGAUGCACAAAGGGAAAACAUUUUGCACGGAGUAUGAGAAAUCAAAGGUUCUUGCAGAUAGAAUCGCAUUGCAGGCAGCAGCAGAGGGGGUGCCAAUAACCAUUGUCUAUCCAGGAGUCAUCUAUGGUCCUGGAAAACUUACAACUGGAAACCUUGUUUCCCGCAUUCUAAUUGAAAGGUUUAAUGGCCGUCUACCUGGCUACAUUGGAGAUGGGUAUGAUAGAGAAUCAUUUUGCCACGUCGACGAUGUUGUUAGUGGGCACAUAGCAGCUAUGGAGAAGGGCAGAGUGGGAGAAAGAUAUCUGCUCACCGGCGAAAAUUUGUCAUUCAUGCAUAUUUUCAAUAUGGCUGCUAAUAUCACAAACACAAAGGCCCCGUACUUCCACGUACCGCUCUGGCUGAUUGAAAUAUAUGGCUGGAUUUCAGUUUUCAUUUCCCGCAUCACUGGAAAGCUCCCUCUUAUCAGUUACCCUACAGUGCGUGUUAUUAGACAUCAAUGGGCGUAUUCGUGUGACAAAGCAAAAAGGGAACUAGGCUACAAUCCAAGAAACUUGACAGAAGGUCUGGCUGAGAUGCUUUUAUGGCUCAAGAACGAGAAACUGAUCAAAUUUUAG
rnacentral:rRNA from 1 species